rnacentral:lncRNA from 1 species
AUCAUUGUCAACAUUGGAAAUUGUCAUCUUUUAAAAAAUGUCUGUCAGUUCAAUAAGCAACAUAUAGAUUAAUUUAAAUUAACCUAAUAAUUUAAUUAUUGAGUUUGGCAUGUUUCCAUGAUGUCUUUUGCCAUUUCUAAUUCUAUUUAAUUUCCUAUCAUCUGCCAAACACUGGGCUAGGUAAUUUACAUAUGUUAUUUCUUUCAAUCCUCACAAAUUCAUCAUCUUUUGUUUUGUGGAUGAGGAAACUACAACUCAGAGAUGUUAAGUGACUUGCUCAAGAUCACACGACUGAGAGCUUUCAGGAAACCAUCUGUUCCUGUGAUGAAAGCUUGCCUCGGGAAUUACAACGACCCAGGUUUAAAGUUGGACUUUGCCACUUUCCAGCGACUUGAUACCCAAGGUGACAAGGCUUAAAUGCCAUCCUCUGUGAAAAAUACCAGCCAUUUAAAAAAAGAAGAGGAAAGAAACACGGAGUGCUAUCUCAGUCCUGAAGCCAAGAAGGAAAAGUGCACUGUGUGAAAAACAUAAAACAGAGCUGUUCGUGACACCUAAAGGCCAGACAAGGCUGAAAGACCACCCAGUGUCAGCCCAGGAAGAAAGAACUGAGGAAGCUAAAAGCCCAAACCCCGGGGAGUAUCAACAUGCCAAACACAAUUUGGGG